rnacentral:rRNA from 1 species
UACGUAGGGUGCGAGCGUUGUCCGGAAUUAUUGGGCGUAAAGAGCUCGUAGGCGGUUUGUUGCGUCUAUCGUGAAAACCUGCAGCUUAACUGUGGGCUUGCGGUGGAUACGGGCAGACUUGAGUUCGGUAGGGGAGACUGGAAUUCCUGGUGUAGCGGUGAAAUGCGCAGAUAUCAGGAGGAACACCGGUGGCGAAGGCGGGACUCUGGGCCGAUACUGACGCUGAGGAGCGAAAGCGUGGGGAGCGAACAGG